UACGUAGGGGGCGAGCGUUGUCCGGAUUUAUUGGGCGUAAAGAGCUCGUAGGCGGUUCAGUAAGUCGGGUGUGAAAACUCAGGGCUCAACCCUGAGCUGCCACCCGAUACUGCUGUGACUUGAGUCUGGUAGGGGAGUGGGGAAUUCCUGGUGUAGCGGUGAAAUGCGCAGAUAUCAGGAGGAACACCGGUGGCGAAGGCGGGUCUCUGGGCCGAUACUGACGCUGAGGAGCGAAAGCGUGGGGAGCGAACAGG
rnacentral:rRNA from 1 species